UACGUAGGGGGCAAGCGUUGUCCGGAAUCAUUGGGCGUAAAGAGCGUGUAGGCGGCCUUAUAAGUCGGCUGUGAAAGUCAAGGGCUCAACCCUUGAAUGCCGGCCGAUACUGUGAGGCUAGAGUCCGGAAGAGGCGAGUGGAAUUCCUGGUGUAGCGGUGAAAUGCGCGGAUAUCAGGAGGAACACCGAUGGCGAAGGCAGCUCGCUGGGACGGUACUGACGCUGAGACGCGAAAGCGUGGGGAGCGAACAGG
rnacentral:rRNA from 1 species